UACGUAGGGGGCUAGCGUUGUCCGGAAUCAUUGGGCGUAAAGCGCGUGUAGGCGGUCCGGUAAGUCCGCUGUGAAAGUCGAGGGCUCAACCCUCGAAUGCCGGUGGAUACUGUCGGGCUAGAGUGCGGAAGAGGCGAGUGGAAUUCCUGGUGUAGCGGUGAAAUGCGCAGAUAUCGGGAGGAACACCUAUGGCGAAGGCAGCUCGCUGGGACGUUACUGACGCUGAGACGCGAAAGCGUGGGGAGCAAACAGG
rnacentral:rRNA from 1 species